GACAGAGGGUGCAAACGUUGUUCGGAAUUACUGGGCGUAAAGCGCGUGUAGGCGGCUAAGUAAGUCGGGCGUGAAAUCCCACGGCUCAACCGUGGAAGUGCACUCGAAACUGCAUAGCUAGAGUCCUGGAGAGGAAGGUGGAAUGCUUGGUGUAGAGGUGAAAUUCGUAGAUAUCAAGCGGAACACCGGUGGCGAAGGCAGCCUUCUGGACAGUGACUGACGCUGAGACGCGAAAGCGUGGGGAGCAAACAGG
rnacentral:rRNA from 1 species